rnacentral:rRNA from 1 species
CGCGUAGGCGGGAUGGCAAGUCGGUCGUGAAAUCCUUCGGCUCAACCGAAGAACGUCGGCCGAUACUGCCGUUCUUGAGGGAUGCAGAGGAGAUUGGAAUUCCCGGUGCAGCGGUGAAAUGUGUAGAGAUCGGGAGGAACACCGGUGGCGAAGGCGGGUCUCUGGGCACUCCCUGACGCUGAGGCGCGAAAGCGUGGGGAGCAAACG